rnacentral:lncRNA from 1 species
CCAUGGCAAAAGACAUCAAGACCAAAAUCAAGAACUACAGGACUGCCCCUUUUGACAGGCGCUUCCCCAACCAGAACCAGACCAGGAAUGGCUGGCAGAAAUACCUGGACCUCCACCACUUCAAGAAGGCAAUGACUGCUAAAGGAGGGGGUGAUGUCUCUGUUUGUGAAUGGUACCAGCAUGUGUACAAGUCUCUCUGCCCUAUACCCUGGGCCUCAGCCUGGGAUGACCAUGGGCAGAAGGCACAUUUCUUGGGAAGA